CCAACCUGCUUCCUGCCUCUGCAUACGAGAACCCAAGGCUCUACCCUGAAAAUUAAAAAUAUCCCCAGGCUCGGUCUGGCCCGUUUAUACACUGAAGUGAAUGGAUUGACUAUUCAGUGAAAGUUGGGCUCUGAACCUGCCUGCCCUGAGGGAAGCAACACCACAUAUCCUCUCUUUGCUGCUUCCAAGAAGGGCUCUAAGUGUAGGGCAUUAAAGCCCAGCUGCUGGUUAUGCAUAUUAACCAAACUCUCAGAGAGCUAAGCUCACUACAAUUGGGAUGGCUAAACAAUAGGGUGAAUUAUGCUCACAAGACCCGAGAGACUUGCAACCUGUUUCAAGCACUUUCUUUAAAAACUGCAGACAUUUCACACUAAAGGAGGCAGAAGCCAAAAACCGAGACUGGAUGCUGAGAAUGGAUUUGAUUCAAUUUUGGAAAACAAAGUGUGCUACAACCACCACGGACUGACCUGUUGUUUGCUUUUGUUUUCUGUAGCUGCUCGUCCUGUCUUGCAUACCAUUCUUCUAGCUCCUUUAUUGCCUUUUCUUUCCACU
rnacentral:lncRNA from 1 species